UAAUACCGCAUAUGCUCUACGGAGGAAAGCCGGGGAUCCGCAAGGACCUGGCGCUAUGGGAGCGGCCGAUGUCCGAUUAGCUAGUUGGUGAGGUAAAGGCUCACCAAGGCGACGAUCGGUAGCUGGUCUGAGAGGAUGAUCAGCCACACUGGGACUGAGACACGGCCCAGACUCCUACGGGAGGCAGCAGUGGGGAAUUUUGGACAAUGGGGGCAACCCUGAUCCAGCCAUGCCGCGUGCGGGAAGAAGGCCUUCGGGUUGUAAACCGCUUUUAGUCGGGAAGAAAAGGGCGAGGCUAAUACCCUCGUCACUUGACGGUACCGGCGGAAUAAGCACCGGCUAACUACGUGCCAGCAGCCGCGGUAAUACGUAGGGUGCGAGCGUUAAUCGGAAUUACUGGGCGUAAAGCGUGCGUAGGCGGUUCGUUAAGUUCGUUGUGAAAGCCCCGGGCUCAACCUGGGAACUGCAAUGGAAACUGGCGGGCUAGAGUAGGCA
rnacentral:rRNA from 1 species